GAACAUGAGAGUUUGAUCCUGGCUCAGGAUGAACGCUGGCGGCGUGCCUAACACAUGCAAGUCGAACGGGCGCG
rnacentral:rRNA from 1 species